GUCUUGGUGGUGCAAUGGUCAGCACGCUCGGCCCGUAUUCGGAAGUCCGUGGUUCGAGUCCCGGCGAGGACC
rnacentral:tRNA from 1 species